GACGAACGCUGGCGGCGUGCUUAACACAUGCAAGUGGAGCGACGAACCAGGGCUUGCCCUGGGGCAGAGCCGCGAACGGGUGAGUAACACGUGGGUAACGUGCCCCGAUGAUCGGGACAACCCGGGGAAACCCGGGCUAAUACCGAAUGUGCUCCCCUCACACCAGUGAGGGAUGGAAAGGAAGCUUCGGCCUCCGCAUCGGGAUCGGCCCGCGGCCCAUUAGCUUGUUGGUGAGGUAACGGCUCACCAAGGCUGCGAUGGGUAGCUGGUCUGAGAGGACGAUCAGCCACACUGGGACUGAGACACGGCCCAGACUCCUACGGGAGGCAGCAGUGGGGAAUCUUGCGCAAUGCGCGAAAGCGUGACGCAGCAACGCCGCGUGGGGGAAGACGGCCUUCGGGUUGUAAACCCCUUUCAGGAGGGACGAAGCCAGGGCGGUUAAUAGCCGACUCGGGUGACGGUACCUCC
rnacentral:rRNA from 1 species